GAACAAAAAAACAAAAAUCUGGGUCAAGAAAACAACGGAUUUCUUCGAUAUUUCAAACCCAAAAAGCCAGUACCCAUCAAUCGUAUCACAAGAAAGCACAAAAGGGUAUUCCCAAAACGAUACAAUACGUGAAACGCAGCAUCGAUUGGAGAAGAAAAAUGGCCAAAGGGGGGUUUCUUUCUCGAAGGAGCUUCAAUUGAAAAUGGGUUAUUUCAG
rnacentral:misc_RNA from 1 species